rnacentral:rRNA from 1 species
UACGGAGGAUGCGAGCGUUAUCCGGAUUUAUUGGGUUUAAAGGGUGCGUAGGCGGGCUGUUAAGUCAGCGGUCAAAUGUCGGGGCUCAACCCCGGCCUGCCGUCGGAACUGGGUGCCUUGAGUGGGCGAGAAGUAUGCGGAAUGCGUGGUGUAGCGGUGAAAUGCAUAGAUAUCGCGCAGAACUCCGAUUGCGAAGGCAGCAUACCGGCGCGCAACUGACGCUCAUGCAUGAAAGCGUGGGUAUCGAACAGG